rnacentral:lncRNA from 1 species
AUGCAAAUUUUGAUUUGGCAUCUGGUUUGAGGCAAUGAUGCCAUUAUUUACUUGAGCUGGUAGAAAUUGUUGUUGCAGCAGCUGCGGUUGUGCCUGUUGUCUUUGUUGUUGUUGCAGUUGCUGUAGAGGUGGCUGCUGCUGCUGUGGUUGUGGUUGUGGCUGUGCCUGUUGUCUUUGUUGUUGCUGCUGCUGCUGCUGUAGAGGUGGCUGAGGCUGAGGCUGCUGUUGAAGAUGUGACUGUGGCUGCAGCUGUGACUGUCGUUGCUGUAACUGCUGUUGUGGAUUUUGAUUCAGAGGAGUCUGCAAUAACUGCUGGAGUUGCUGUUGCUGGGGCCAGGUCAUAGGUGCCUGAG